rnacentral:rRNA from 1 species
UACGUAGGGUGCGAGCGUUAUCCGGAUUUAUUGGGUUUAAAGGGUGCGCAGGCGGCACGGCAAGCCGGCGGUCAAAUCGCGGGGCUCAACCCCGCCCAGCCGUCGGAACUGCCGGGCUAGAGUGGGCGAGAAGUGCGCGGAAUGCGUGGUGUAGCGGUGAAAUGCAUAGAUAUCACGCAGAACUCCGAUUGCGAAGGCAGCGCACCGGCGCCCUACUGACGCUCAGGCACGAAAGCGUGGGUAUCGAACAGG